UGAAGUCCAUGGGCGACAGUAACCACU
rnacentral:sRNA from 1 species